rnacentral:rRNA from 1 species
GACGUAGGGCGCGAGCGUUGUCCGGAUUUAUUGGGCGUAAAGAGCUCGUAGGCGGUCUGUCGCGUCGGCUGUGAAAACCCAGGGCUCAACCCUGGGCCUGCAGUCGAUACGGGCAGACUAGAGUCCGGCAGGGGAGACUGGAAUUCCUGGUGUAGCGGUGAAAUGCGCAGAUAUCAGGAGGAACACCGGUGGCGAAGGCGGGUCUCUGGGCCGGAACUGACGCUGAGGAGCGAAAGCGUGGGGAGCGAACAGG